rnacentral:rRNA from 1 species
AUUGAACGCUGGCGGCAGGCUUAACACAUGCAAGUCGAGCGGAGAUGAGGUGCUUGCACCUUAUCUUAGCGGCGGACGGGUGAGUAAUGCUUAGGAAUCUGCCUAUUAGUGGGGGACAACAUUCCGAAAGGAAUGCUAAUACCGCAUACGUCCUACGGGAGAAAGCAGGGGAUCUUCGGACCUUGCGCUAAUAGAUGAGCCUAAGUCGGAUUAGCUAGUUGGUGGGGUAAAGGCCUACCAAGGCGACGAUCUGUAGCGGGUCUGAGAGGAUGAUCCGCCACACUGAGACUGAGACACGGCCCAGACUCCUACGGGAGGAAGCAGUGGGGAAUAUUGGACAAUGGGGGGAACCCUGAUCCAGCCAUGCCGCGUGUGUGAAGAAGGCCUUAUGGUUGUAAAGCACUUUAAGCGAGGAGGAGGCUACUGAGACUAAUACUCUUGGAUAGUGGACGUUACUCGCAGAAUAAGCACCGGCUAACUCUGUGCCAGCCGCCGCAGUAAGAC